UGGGGAAUAUUGCACAAUGGGCGAAAGCCUGAUGCAGCAACGCCGCGUGAGUGAUGAAGGCCUUCGGGUUGUAAAGCUCUGUCUUUUGGGACGAUAAUGACGGUACCAAAGGAGGAAGCCACGGCUAACUACGUGCCAGCAGCCGCGGUAAUACGUAGGUGGCAAGCGUUGUCCGGAUUUACUGGGCGUAAAGGAUGCGUAGGCGGAUUUUUAAGUGAGAUGUGAAAACCCUAAGCUUAACUUGGGGACUGCAUUUCAUACUGGAAAUCUAGAGUGCGGGAGAGGAGAAUGGAAUUCCUAGUGUAGCGGUGAAAUGCGUAGAGAUUAGGAAGAACACCAGUGGCGAAGGCGAUUCUCUGGACCGUAACUGACGCUGAGGCAUGAAAGCGUGGGUAGCAAACAGGAUUAGAUACCCUGGUAGUCCACGCCGUAAACGAUGAGUACUAGGUGUGGGAGGUAUCGACCCCUUCUGUGCCGCAGUUAACACAAUAAGUACUCCGCCUGGGAAGUACGAUCGCAAGAUUAAAACUUAAAUGAAUUGACGGGGUCAUAGCUGUUUUCCU
rnacentral:rRNA from 1 species